GACGAACGCUGGCGGCGUGCUUAACACAUGCAAGUCGAACGGAAAGGCCCUGCUUUUUUGUUGUGCUCGGGUGGCGAACGGGUGAGUAACAAGUGUGUAGUCACCCCUUUACUUUGGGAUAACUACAGGAAAAUAGGGCUAAUACCGGAUAGGAACUCCUGCUUAAUGGUGGGGGUUGGAAAGUUUCGGCUGUCGGGGAUGGACUCGCCGCUUAUCUGAUCGUUGGUGGGGUAGUGGCUUAGCAAGGCUUUGAGGGGUCGACCGCCUGAGAGGGUGACCGGGGUCAUUGUGACUCUGAGACGGCGCAGAGUCGUACGGGAGACAGCAGAGGGGAAUAUAGCGCAAUGGGGGGAAGCCUGGUGCGGCAACGCGGCGUGCGGGAUGACGGCCUUCGGGGUUUGAACAGAUUUCGCCUGUGACGAGGCGUGAGUGACGGUACCUGGAGAAGAAGCACCGGCUAACUACGUG
rnacentral:rRNA from 1 species